GACGAACGCUGGCGGCGUGCUUAACACAUGCGAGUCGAACGGAAAGGCCCUGCUUUUGUGGGGUGCUCGAGUGGCGAACGGGUGAGUAACACGUGAGUAACCUGCCCUUGACUUUGGGAUAACUUCAGGAAACUGGGGCUAAUACCGGAUAGGAGCUCCUGCUGCAUGGAGGGGGUUGGAAAGUUUCGGCGGUUGGGGAUGGACUCGCGGCUUAUCAGCUUGUUGGUGGGGUAGUGGCUUACCAAGGCUUUGACGGGUAGCCGGCCUGAGAGGGUGACCGGCCACAUUGGGACUGAGAUACGGCCCAGACUCCUACGGGAGGCAGCAGUGGGGAAUAUUGCACAAUGGGCGGAAGCCUGAUGCAGCAACGCCGCGUGCGGGAUGACGGCCUUCGGGUUGUAAACCGCUUUCGCCUGUGACGAAGCGUGAGUGACGGUAAUGGGUAAAGAAGCACCGGCUAACUACGUG
rnacentral:rRNA from 1 species